GACGAACGCUGGCGGCGUGCUUAACACAUGCAAGUCGAACGGAAAGGCCCUGCUUGCCGGGUGCUCGAGUGGCGAACGGGUGAGUAACACGUGGGUGAUCUGCCCCUUACUUUGGGAUAAGCCUGGGAAACUGGGUCUAAUACUGGAUAGGACCAUGCUGUAGGUGGUGUGGUGGAAAGAUUAGUUUCGGUAAGGGAUGAGCUCGCGGCCUAUCAGCUUGUUGGUGGGGUAAUGGCCUACCAAGGCGUCGACGGGUAGCCGGCCUGAGAGGGUGGACGGCCACAUUGGGACUGAGAUACGGCCCAGACUCCUACGGGAGGCAGCAGUGGGGAAGAUUGCACAAUGGGCGCAAGCCUGAUGCAGCGACGCCGCGUGGGGGAUGACGGCCUUCGGGUUGUAAACUCCUUUCAGCCAUGACGAAGCCCUUGUGGUGACGGUAGUGGUAGAAGAAGCACCGGCUAACUACGUG
rnacentral:rRNA from 1 species